GGUUCCUCUCUCUCUCACUCUUACUCUUUUUCUCUCUCCAAUUUCAGAAAUCUCAUUGUGGAAUCCUGUCUGUUGAAGAUAGCUGGAGACCAGUUUAAGUCUUUGUGAUGGAACCCACAGAAUAGAUGUUAAUUAUAUUACCUACUUUCCAGACACUGACAGGGCAACUGACACAGUACUGCAUAUUCUGUUUAACAACCGUGGGGAAGUUUGGCAGCUUAACAAAACAUCCUUGACUCCCUUGCAGAGAGGAGAAUUCAGCUUCCCUUGGACUUUGGCUUUAAGACCUCACAUUCUUUUCUCAGAAAACAGACCUGAAGACAGAGCAGCAGUACUGGAACCACUCAGCCACGCGGACUGGGCAGCAUCUAAAGGUCACGUCGCUGGCGGGUGCAGUUUGAGUAGAAGUGAUCGCAGAUGUGCAGGCCAACAUCCAGAGGGUCAGCAGGGCCAGGGCCUGAGCCAUGGGGCCAUCCACGUUUUCUGGAGUGGAAGGGGAAUACGAGUCAAUACAGGAUUGAAGAACAGGAAGAUCGCGCGGAGCUCUGGAAGAGAAGCAGCAGAGUCGCCCUUUGUCCCGGUGUCCUCUUUAACAAGGCAUUGGUGAAGGAAUAGCGCAUACUGAUGGCCUACUGUGUACUUAGCACUAUGCUGCAUGCUUUAUAGAGGCCCUUAAGCACAGUAAUGUUAGAAAGACCUCGAUGUCCUAACUCUGCUACCACCUAGCUUGGAGAAAUUGGGAAAAUCAUUCAAUCUCUCUGAGUGUUUAUGUCAUCUUUAAAAUUGCUGCAACGGGAGAGGCCACAGCAGUGAGAGGCCUGUGUACCGCAAAACAAACAAACAAAACAAAACAAAAUUGAACUAAUAAUAUCUAUAUUUAUCACUGAGCCCAUCAAUAUUAAUUGAAGACCUACUGUGUGCUAAGCAUUAUAAAAGCUGGAUAUACAUGUAGGUAAAUUAAAAUAAACCAGUAUCUUAUAAAUAAGCUCUAGGAGUAUAAUGUACAGCAUGAUUAUAGUUGAAAAUACUGUACUGCUUAUUUGAAAGUUGCUUAGAGAGUAGAUCUUAAAAGUUCUCAUCACAAGAAAAAAAUUGUAACUAUGUGUGAUGGACAUUAUUAAACUUAUUGUGAGAAUCAUUUUGCAAUACAUCAAAUCAUUAUAUUGUGUACCUUAAACUUGUAUAUCACGUUAUAUGUCAAUUAUCUCGAAAUCUCAAUCUGUCUCAAUAA